UGGAAUAACGACAAUGAAAACACUAAAAACUAACAUCUGACUCUCUAUAAAGCCUCUAAUAACAACUGAGAUGGAUGUUGGGACAUACCCCACAACAUCCUAAUAAACUAAACUAGAAAGCAAUGAAAUGGAUCCUCCGAAAAGCAAGGAGGCUCACCAACAGACUCUGGACUGCUCACUGGAUCAACGACGCUCGGGAUGCCGAUCCUAGUUAC
rnacentral:lncRNA from 1 species